CAUAUGUCUUACCAAAGCGGUAACGAGCAGCUAACAAAGAAAAACAAAUCAACGAAAAUUUAUACUUGAGAAUUGUGUUAGCUCUUACAGCGUUCCUACUUAUAUUGUUGACAUAGAUACUGAUGGUAAGAAAUGGAUGAAAUUGUGCUGCCAUCAUAAUUCGUAAGCCAUGUCUUACUUGAUUUGGAUUGUUGACGAUAGUGCGAUCCUAAGAAGGACUGUUGCUGUUAGUGUUGAUCUAUCACAUCUACAAACAUGUUACGUUCUCCAAAGUUCAAUCCACUAACUUUAGUAAUUAUAACGUUGUGGCUCUCUGUAUUAGCAUAAUAUUUUCUACUCACCCUGGCAAGUUGCUUGAUUUAUUUGGCCUUAACGUCUCCUCGAAUCCCAUGGCUAUUUAUACACACAAAGAAAGAGAUGUUGAGAAAAGAACAUACUACCCACUUUCUGUUACCACAACAACAGACGCCUCCUCACUAAAAAAUUGCAUACAUCGCUGGAGUCUUAUUGUACUGUAUUGUAAGAACGGAUGAUUUAAGUCUUUCGUAUCCACGAUAAACCAAAUGUAAACACAUCUAACAUCGUUGUGCGUUUUUCGAUUAACGAUAAAUGAAAAGCAAUUGUUAUUGCUUGUUUUUGUCUUUGCAUGCAGUGAAACUUUAAUACGGAAAAAAAUAUUUGUACGAUUGAUAUCUUUUAGUUUGGUGAAGGAUUUCACUGACUUUUUUCCAUAAGUAUCUAUCAUAUUCUCAUCAAGUCCGGUAGUUAGUGGGUCUUAAUGACGUGUAAUUUGAAAAUUAUUAUAUUAAUUACUUGACAGGUAUGACAAAGGAAUUCAACAAAUUAAAGUAUUUUACAUCCUUUCA